rnacentral:rRNA from 1 species
CGGCGGAACACGUGAAAUUCCGUCGGAAUCCGGGAGGACCAUCUCCCAAGGCUAAAUACUCCCUAGUGACCGAUAGUGAACCAGUACCGUGAGGGAAAGGUGAAAAGCACCCCGGAAGGGGAGUGAAACAGUUCCUGAAACCGUGUGCCUACAAGUAGUUAGAGCCCGUUAAUGGGUGAUAGCGUGCCUUUUGUAGAAUGAACCGGCGAGUUACGAUUUGUUGCAAGGUUAAGCGGAAAAAGCGGAGCCGUAGCGAAAGCGAGUCUGAAUAGGGCGCAUAAGUAACAGGUCGUAGACCCGAAACCAGGUGAUCUACCCAUGUCCAGGAUGAAGGUAAGGUAAUACUUACUGGAGGUCCGAACCCACGCACGUUGAAAAGUGCGGGGAUGAGGUGUGGGUAGCGGAGAAAUUCCAAUCGAACUUGGAGAUAGCUGGUUCUCUCCGAAAUAGCUUUAGGGCUAGCCUCGAGGUAAAGAGUCAUGGAGGUAGAGCACUGUUUGGACUAGGGGCCCUUCUCGGGUUACCGAAUUCAGAUAAACUCCGAAUGCCAUGUACUUAUACUCGGGAGUCAGACUGCGAGUGAUAAGAUCCGUAGUCGAAAGGGAAACAGCCCAGACCACCAGUUAAGGUCCCCAAAUAUAUGUUAAGUGGAAAAGGAUGUGGGGUUGCUUAGACAACCAGGAUGUUGGCUUAGAAGCAGCCACCAUUGAAAGAGUGCGUAAUAGCUCACUGGUCGAGUGACCCCGCGCCGAAAAUGUACCGGGGCUAAACAUAUUACCGAAACUGUGGAUGAACCUCUUUAGAGGUUCGUGGUAGGAGAGCGUUCUAAGGGCGGUGAAGUCAGACCGGAAGGACUGGUGGAGCGCUUAGAAGUGAGAAUGCCGGUAUGAGUAGCGAAAGAAGGGUGAGAAUCCCUUCCACCGAAUAUCUAAGGUUUCCUGAGGAAGGCUCGUCCGCUCAGGGUUAGUCGGGACCUAAGCCGAGGCCGAUAGGCGUAGGCGAUGGACAACAGGUAGAGAUUCCUGUACCAGUGCUAAUUGUUUAACCGAUGGGGUGACACAGAAGGAUAGGGAAUCGCACGAAUGGAAAUGUGCGUCCAAGCAGUGAGUGUGAGAAGUAGGCAAAUCCGCUUCUCGCGAAGCAUGAGCUGUGAUGGGGAAGGAAAUUAAGUACGGAAGUUCCUGAUUUCACGCUGUCAAGAA